rnacentral:rRNA from 1 species
GACCUAGAGUAUAAAUUCUGCAAAUUUUGAGGGCUUAAAGCUAUUACCGAAACUUCAAACAAAAUAUUUUUAAUACGAUAUUUUGUGGUAGCAGAACAUUCCGUAGGUUGUAGAAGCUAUAGUGUAAACUAUUGUGGAGAUAUCGGAAGUGAGAAUACUUGCAUGAGUAGCACAAAACAACGAUAAGCGUUGUGGCCGUAAGUCUAAGGUUUCCGAUCUAAAGUAAAGCUUGGUCGGCAGAAAUCAAUUUUUCUAAAAAAAGCGGUCCCUAAGCGGACAAGCCAAGGCUUGUAGUAAUGGGUAGGAUUAUGCUGUAAUAAGUUACUGACGAAGAAUUCACUUUAUUUUUAAAAGAUUUGAAAGUAGAUUAUUUUUUCCAAGAAAAAGGUUCUUUAUUUA